rnacentral:tRNA from 1 species
AGGAUAAUAGUUUAAAAAAAACAUUUGAUUUGCAAUCAAAAAAUAUUAUUUUAAUAAUUUUUCUUA